UACGUAGGGGGCAAGCGUUACUCGGAUUUACUGGGCGUAAAGCGCGUGUAGGCGGCUGGCCAAGCGUGGUGUGAAAUCUCUGGGCUCAACCCGGAAACUGCACCGCGAACUGGCCUGGCUAGAGUGCAGGAGAGGGCAGCGGAAUUCCGGGUGGAGCGGUGAAAUGCGUAGAGAUCCGGAGGAACACCGACGGCGCAGGCAGCGUCCUGGCCGCUUGCUGACACUGAGGCACGAAAGCUGGGGGAGCAAACAGG
rnacentral:rRNA from 1 species